ensembl:lncRNA
GAAAAAAGCAAUUACUGCCCUUGCGGUUUCAAGGCGGCCCCGUGCUGAACGAUGAAAGGAGAUAAGGAGGGGCGGUUUCAAGGCGCCCCCCACGGCGAACCCCGUUGGCCCCAGAGCAAAAGGAGAGUCAAGAGUGACUAAAUCAAAGGGAAUACGGUUAAAAACAACAACAAAAAAAGAAAAUGGAGGCGAGGACGGCAACAAGAACCGGAAAGCAACUAUUUCUCUACCGAGAGGGAGCUCUUCUUCUUUCUUUUAUGGUGGAAGAAAAGUUUUGUCUACAAAGGAGACAGCGGGAAGACGGCCGAAUCAGCAUCACGCGGCCUGGCGUGGCCGGCCUCGAGAGUCAUGUGAUCUCCGGGGUGGCUGUUGCCUGGGAGAAGAAAAGGCAAGUUUGUGUCAAAAUCCAUUUUUGGUCCAGCUGGAAGGUCACAGGUCAUCUCAACUCUGAUGUAAUCAGAGUAAAACUUUUUGGCCUCCGGUCUGAGCGAAAUAUCUCUCUUCAAAGACUGACCGUGACUUUGAUUAAAGAUGCACAGAUGUGGCUAGCAAAACCAAACAUCAACAGAAUAUGAGAGACUUCAGCCAAACAUGUCCGGGAGCUGGACGUUAACAGAUAGACACGUCAUGUAGACUUCUCAUGUGCAUUUCUUCCUCGAGCUGAUGUUCCCAGUCUCGGGAAGGUUGGGAUGGUGAGGGGGGAGACCUGCCGGUGAGCACGGUUGCAGGAUUUCUUUAGUGGAGAAAAGGAGUGUGUGUGCAAUUCAAAAAAAAAAAAAGAAGAAGAAGCACAGUGACGCUUUAUUUAAUUGGUUGCCGACCACCUGGAGUUUCAACAUUUCCCCUGGCUGAUUUCAGACUCCCUCACACCAAUGUGACGUCUAUGGCUGAAGAAAAGACAGA